rnacentral:rRNA from 1 species
AUUGAACGCUGGCGGCAUGCUCUACACAUGCAAGUCGAACGGUAACAGGGUGCUUGCACCGCUGACGAGUGGCGAACGGGUGAGUAAUGCGUCGGAACGUGCCGAGUAGUGGGGGAUAACGCAGCGAAAGUUGUGCUAAUACCGCAUACGUACUGAGGUGGAAAGUGGGGGACCUUCGGGCCUUACGCUAUUCGAGCGGCCGACGUCUGAUUAGCUAGUAGGUGAGGUAAAGGCUCACCUAGGCGACGAUCAGUAGCGGGUCUGAGAGGAUGAUCCGCCACACUGGGACUGAGACACGGCCCAGACUCCUACGGGAGGCAGCAGUGGGGAAUUUUGGACAAUGGGCGAAAGCCUGAUCCAGCCAUGCCGCGUGUCUGAAGAAGGCCUUCGGGUUGUAAAGGACUUUUGUCAGGGAGGAAAUCCCUAGUGCUAAUAACACUGGGGGAUGACAGUACCUGAAGAAUAAGCACCGGCUAACUACGUGCCAGCCGCCGCAGUAA